UCAAGAACAAUCGUCAAUGGGCGAAAGCCUGAACGUGCGACGCCGCGUGGAGGAUGAAGGUCUUCGGAUCGUAAACUCCUUUUCUAAGGGAAGAAUCCGCCAUCCGGCGGAUGACGGUACCUUAGGAAUAAGAGGUUGCUAACUCUGUGCCAGCAGCAGCGGUAAUACAGAGACCUCGAGCGUUAUCCGGAUUUAUUGGGCGUAAAGGGUGCGUAGGCGGUUUAGAUAGUCAGAUGUCAAAUCAUCGAGCUCAACUCGGUGGCUGCAUUUGAAACGUCUAGACUGGAGACAGGCAGAGGCUAGUGGAACUCAUGGUGUAGCAGUGAAAUGCGUUGAUAUCAUGGGGAACACCAAAGGCGAAGGCAUCUAGCUGGGCCUGUUCUGACGCUGAGGCACGAAA
rnacentral:rRNA from 1 species